GGAAAUGUGGUCAUAUUGGGCGGCCAGUUUCUGUAUGAACAUGUUAUUUAGAUUGUUAUCUAUUGUUAUUAUUGUGGGGUCAUUGCUAGGGGUAUGUUAUGUAUAUGGGUAGCCAAAUACUGCUGUCUCACUCUUCAACAGUCUUCAUUUAGUGGCACAGUAAUCGCUAAAAAGUUAAGAUGAAAAACAGCCGCAUAUUGAUGGCUCUGUUUUUAUUUUAGGUCCC